GACGAACGCUGGCGGCGUGCUUAACACAUGCCAGUCGAACGGAAAGGCCUCUUUCGGGGGGUACUCGAGUGGCGAACGGGUGUGUAACACGUGAGUAACCUGCCCUUGACUCUGGGAUAACUCCAGGAAACUGGGGCUAUUACCGGAUAGGAGCGCCCGCUCCAUGGGGGGGGUUGGAAAGUUUCGGGGGUUGGGGAUGGGAUCGCGGCUUAUCAGCUUGUUGGUGGGGGAGUGGGUUACCAAGGCGUUGACGGGUAUCCGGCCUGGGAGGGUGGACGGCCCAAGUGGGAAUGAGAUAAGGGCCAAGACCCUAAGGGGAGCAAGCAGGGGGAAUAUUGGACGAAGGGUGGGAAGCUGAAGCAGGAAAGCCGUCGGCGGGGGGAAGGGCUUCGGGUUGGAAACCGAUUUCGCUCAUGGCGAAGCUUUGUGUGACGGUAGUGGGUAAAGAAGCACCGGCUAACUACGUG
rnacentral:rRNA from 1 species